rnacentral:rRNA from 1 species
UGGGGAAUAUUGGACAAUGGGGGCAACCCUGAUCCAGCCAUGCCGCGUGUGUGAAGAAGGCCUUUUGGUUGUAAAGCACUUUAAGCAGGGAGGAGAGGCUAAUGGUUAAUACCCAUUAGAUUAGACGUUACCUGCAGAAUAAGCACCGGCUAACUCUGUGCCAGCAGCCGCGGUAAUACAGAGGGUGCGAGCGUUAAUCGGAAUUACUGGGCGUAAAGCGAGUGUAGGUGGCUCAUUAAGUCACAUGUGAAAUCCCCGGGCUUAACCUGGGAACUGCAUGUGAUACUGGUGGUGCUAGAAUAUGUGAGAGGGAAGUAGAAUUCCAGGUGUAGCGGUGAAAUGCGUAGAGAUCUGGAGGAAUACCGAUGGCGAAGGCAGCUUCCUGGCAUAAUAUUGACACUGAGAUUCGAAAGCGUGGGUAGCAAACAGGAUUAGAUACCCUGGUAGUCCACGCCGUAAACGAUGUCUACUAGCCGUUGGGGUCCUUGAGACUUUAGUGGCGCAGUUAACGCGAUAAGUAGACCGCCUGGGGGAGUGACGGCCGCAAGGUUAAAAACUCAAAUGAAUU